rnacentral:rRNA from 1 species
UAAAUGUGCGACGGCGUACUUUUUGUAGAACGGUCCGGCGAGUUAUGGCAUGUGGUAAGGUUAAGUACUUCAGGUACGGAGCCGAAGCGAAAGCGAGUGUGAAGAGCACGGUAAAAUCACCUGCCAUAGACCCGAAACCGGGUGAUCUAUCCAUGUCCAGGAUGAAGCUGCCGUAAGAGGUAGUGGAGGUCCGAACACACAUCCGUUGAAAAGGGUGGUGAUGAGGUGUGGAUAGGGGAGAAAUUCCAAUCGAACCCGGAGAUAGCUGGUUCUCCUCGAAAUAGCUUUAGGGCUAGCCCCGUAACAGUCUUGCGGAGGUAGAGCACUGAAUUUCCUAGGGGGCGUCAAAGCCUACCGAAGAAUAUCAAACUGCGAAUGCCGUACAGAUGAUUUACGGGAGUCAGACUGCACGAGAUAAGUUGGGUGGUCAAAAGGGAAAGAGCCCAGACCCGCAGCUAAGGUCCCAAAGUGCGUGUUAAGUGGAAAAGGAUGUGGGAUUUCGAAGACAACCAGGAUGUUGGCUCAGAAGCAGCCACACAUUAAAAGAGUGCGUAAUAGCUCACUGGUCGAGAGGUCCUGCGCCGAAAAUGUCCGGGGCUGAAACACGACACCGAAGCUCGGGAAUCAGAAAUGAUUGGUAGAGGAGCAUUGAAGACGGAACGAAGCCAUACCGGAAGGAGUGGUGGACUGUCUUGAAGAGAGAAUGCCGGAAUGAGUAGCGAGAGAGAAGUGAGAAUCUUCUCGGCCGAAUAUCCAAGGUUUCCAGGGUAAAGCUGAUCUGCCCUGGGUAAGUCGGGGCCUAAGGCGAGGUCGGAAGACGUAGCCGAUGGACAACAGGUUGAAAUUCCUGUACUGUGAUAUAUCAGAACUGUGGGGACACAGCGGGAAGGCAUGGGCCGGAAAAGGAAAAUCCGGUGCAAGCACCAGAGGAGUAUGGCAGGCAAAUCCGCCAUGCAAUCCGAAAGUGUGAUGCGGAGCGAACAAAAGUAGCGAAGCAUGCUUACCGGCUGUCGAGAAAAGCCGCUAUUGCGUAUAUCACACCCGUACCGUAAACCGACACAGGUGGAUGAGGAGAGAAUCCUAAGGCCGGCGGGAGAAGCAUUGUUAAGGAACUCGGCAAAAUGACCCCGUAACUUCGGGAGAAGGGGUGCUCUUGAAAAAGAGCCGCAGAGAAUUGGCCCAAGCAACUGUUUAGCAAAAACACAGGUCUAUGCAAAACCGAAAGGUGAGGUAUAUGGGCUGACGCCUGCCCGGUGCUGGAAGGUUAAGAGGAGAGGUUAUCGCAAGAGAAGCCUUGAAUUUAAGCCCCAGUAAACGGCGGCCGUAACUAUAACGGUCCUAAGGUAGCGAAAUUCCUUGUCGGGUAAGUUCCGACCCGCACGAAAGGCGUAAUGAUUUGGGCACUGUCUCGACAAUGCACCCGGUGAAAUUGAAAUACCAGUGAAGAUGCUGGUUACCUGCGCCAGGACGGAAAGACCCCAUGGAGCUUUACUCUAGCUUGAUACUGGGAUUCGGUAUUGCAUGUACAGGAUAGGUGGGAGGCUGCGAAGUGAUGACGCCAGUUGUCACGGAGCCGAUGUUGGGAUACCACCCCUGCAGUACUGGGUUUCUAACCUGCGGCCGUAACCCGGCCGGGGGACAAUGUCUGGUGGGGAGUUUGACUGGGGCGGUCGCCUCCGAAAGAGUAUCGGAGGCGCUCAAAGGUUCCCUCAGAAUGGUUGGAAACCAUUCGAAGAGUGCAAAGGCAGAAGGGAGCUUGACUGCGACACCGACGGGUGGAGCAGGUACGAAAGUAGGACUUAGUGAUCCGGUGGUAUGAAAGUGGGAUUGCCAUCGCUCAACGGAUAAAAGCUACCCUGGGGAUAACAGGCUUAUCACUCCCAAGAGUUCACAUCGACGGAGUGGUUUGGCACCUCGAUGUCGGCUCAUCGCAUCCUGGGGCUGUAGUAGGU